UAUAUAGCCCAGUCCCGUGAAGGUCAAAAGGUCUCAACGCUGGAAAGAAAACAGAAGAGGUCUUCAACCGGAAGUUAAUGAAUACAUGUUAAAAGGAAGAACAACAUUUAUGUGGAGACUAAAAUAUAACUAGAAAGACUCAAACCCAGGCAGCAAAACGAAAAGCCAAGCAGCCUAGGCAAGGAGGGGAAACCACAUCAAAGCAUCGUAGGGCCAGCUUGGGUUUCUGGAAGAAUAGAAAGGUAGCCACUUACUUUUUGCAACCUUGGGAAGAUAUUCGAUCCAUUGGCGAAGCGUGGAGUCUCCCAGGAGACAGGGUUCUUGGCUUGUCUGGAACUCACUCUGUAGACCAGGAUAGCUUUGAAUACAGAGAUUUGACCACCUCUGCUCUUGAAUGCUGAGAUUAAAAUAGUGUACCACCUACAGAUUCAAUGCAACUCCCAUCAAAAUUCCAACACAAUUCCUUACAGGCCUUGAAAGGACAAUUCUCAACGUCAUAUG
rnacentral:lncRNA from 1 species